rnacentral:misc_RNA from 1 species
AGUUUCUGAUAGGAAGAGAUGUGUGAUAAAAAAUCAAAUGCAAUCAAAAGAAAUGACAAAUCAGCAACCAUUGAAAUGAUCACGAGUAUCAUAACCUAUAUUUGCAGGAAUAAACAAUCAAGAACAACAACCAUAAGGAAUUGAAAAACCUGUACAGUUACUGCCAAUCAAAGCUCUUUAAUUUUUACAUUGAAUAAAAGCCAGCCUCAUAAAACCAAUCUUCCUAAGGCGAAGAAGUCGAGGAUG